AUGCUUUUUCUCCAAUUUUUCUUGAAUUUUCAAGCUUUUCUCGGUAUUUUUGCUCUGGAAAGCAGCUCGGAGCCCGAAUUUUUUGAAAUUAAUAUCGAUAGGGACCACCCGGAGAAGGUCUAUCAGGAAUUUGUAGAAUUUAAGAAAAAAUUCAGCAGAACUUACAAAUCUGAGGCUGAAAAUCAACUGAGACUUCAAAAUUUUGUGAAAUCCCGCAACAAUGUUGUCAGAUUAAACAAAAAUGCCCAAAAAGCUGGUAGGAAUUCAAAUUUCGCGGUCAACCAGUUCUCGGAUCUUACCACUUCGGAAUUGCACCAACGACUAUCUCGUUUCCCGCCGAAUUUGACAGAAAACUCAGUUUUUCACAAAAAUUUCAAAAAACUGCUUGGCAAGACCCGUACAAAACGUCAAAAUUCGGAAUUUGCGCGAAAUUUCGAUUUGCGGAGUCAGAAGGUCAACGGGCGGUACAUUGUGGGCCCGAUCAAGAAUCAGGGACAAUGUGCGUGUUGUUGGGGUUUUGCAGUAACUGCAAUGCUAGAAACUAUCUAUGCAGUGAAUGUUGGAAGGUUUAAGAAAUGUGCGACUGUGCCACUGAUGGGACAAAAGCGGGCUGCGCUGGUGGGGGACUUAUGUGGGGUGUCGAGUACGCCAUCAACAAUGGUCUAGCGUCGGAAUUCGAUUAUCCUGAGUUUGACCAGAAUCGGGCCACCAGGCCUGGAACGUGUGAAGCCAUGGAUGAUGAUAAGACUUUUCCGCCGAGAAAGCUGGAUUACCACUUCAUUCGGCCUGAAAACGCCGAAUCUGAAAUAAUUGAGAUUCUCAACACCUGGAAGACCCCAGUGGCAGUUUAUUUUGCCGCCGGAACCGCAUUUUUGCAGUACAAAUCCGGUGUUCUAGUCACAGAAGAUUGUGAUUUAGCUGGCACCGUUUGGCACGCCGGAGCCAUAGUCGGCUACGGAGAGGAAAACGAUCUACGCGGGCGGAGCCAACGCUUCUGGAUCAUGAAAAACUCUUGGGGAGUGUCUGGAUGGGGUACUGGUGGAUACGUGAAGCUAAUUCGCGGGAAAAAUUGGUGUGGGAUUGAGCGUGGAGCCAUCGGAGCAAAUAUGGAGGAGCAUUAUCAUGGUUGA